CGCCUUGAUCUGGUCCAUCUUGAAGGCAUGGGAGGAGAGCACGAUGCGGUAGCUGUAGCGCGCGGAGCCCUUGUCGCCGUCGCCGCCCUCCACCUCCCCCUUGAUCACCAGGACGUCGUUCUCCGCCCGCAUCUUCACGUGCUCCUUCCCCAGCCCCGGCACCGCCACCUUCAGCUGCACCGCGUCGCCAUCCUCCUUGGAGACCCACCACCCGCGCGGGGAGACGCCGCUGGCCCUGGACGCCGCGCCCACGUCGUCGUCCGUCGGCGCCAGCAGCAGGCGCACGCGCAUCUUCGACACCUCGUCGAGCAUGUCUGCAGAAAAUUAAACCCCCAAAUCAUCAGUACUCUCUCCCUCUUUCGCUUCACCACCCGGGGUUCGAGGAAAUAAGGGGAAGGGAAGCGAGGCGGUACCUUCAAUGAGGAGCUUGGCGAGGGAGAGGUAGCGCUCACGGAGGCGGGUGGCGGUGGCGGUGACGGUGACGGCGUCCUCGUCGCUGUCGCUGGAGUCCUCGCUGGAGUCGGCGGAGAAGAGCUUGGAGAUGGAGAGGCGGCGGGCGGAGGCGGAGGCGCCGGUCUUGCCGGAGCCGGACUGUGAGGCGAGGAGCUCCUUGAGGAGGGCGGCCAGCGGGACCCUCUUGGAAGCGACGGCGGAAGCGGAAGCCAUGGAUGGACCCCCCACUCCCCCUCUCUCUCUGCCUCUUCUCUGCGAUUGGGGUUUUGGUUUUGGCUUCUAGCGGUGCGCAGCGAGAAAUGCCUUGACACUGACGGAAGUGUGUGGGGGGUUUAAAUGCUGGGGUUUGCUUGGAGGGAGGGGAUGGCCGAAGGGGCUGCUGGGUCGCUGGGAAGGUUCCAGAAGGCGCAUCGGGGGCCAUCGACGGUUCAAGUUCGCCCAGACUGCUUUGCGAUUCGUGUUGUUGUUGUUUUUUAACCGGGACGACGUACUAGUAGCUGUUCAGCCGAAUGGAGGGGACUAGCCAAUGAAGUCACUGAACUGUGGGGCUGGGGCUGACGGUUCCAGUUGAUGACACUUUUUUUUUUGGGAAUAACCAAACUGCACUGGUUGAUAUGUUGUUUGAUAUGCCAUUUUGAUGUUUGAUAUUGAGGCCUUGUUUAGUUCACCUCGAAAACUAAAAAGUUUUCAAGAUUUCUCAUCACACCAAAUCUUGUGGUACAUGCAUGAAGUAUUAAAUAUAGAUAAAAAUAAAAACUAAUUAGACAGUUUGUCAGUAAAUCGCGAGACAAAUUUUUGAUCCUAGUUAGUUUAUGAUUGGACAAUAUUUACCAUAAACAAACGAAAGUGCUACAAUAGCGAAAUCUAAAAAAAAUUCACAUCUAAACAAGGCCUGAUAGGAUGGAACCUGGUGCAAAUGUGGUGAAACUGGAUUUUAAAUUCAAAUUUUGACUUUUUACAUACGCAAGAGAGUCUUUGACGAAUAAAAAGGUCACAUGCAUAAAUACAAGAUCCGGUAGCCAAAAUAGAAUAUAUAGUGAAACUGGGUAAUAAAUUUUUAGAACUUGCUCAGGGAAAUCAAUCCAUAUACAUCAAGGUAACCGAUUACUAAAAUUAUCUAGGAGGUCCCUCAGCUCAGCAGUAUUACAACAAAAUAUAUAGGGCCUAGCAUGGAGCUUUUGGACAACCUAUGCAAACCAAUUACAACUCUAACAAGGCACUAAUGAUAUAUAUUACAUAUAAUAAGUAUUAAUAUAUUUUGUGUAUAUUUGGUUAAAUUUAAAAAUGUUUGACUCAUCGAGAAAUGAGAUGUAGCACUUUUGUUUGUAUUUGACAAACAUUAUCUAAUCAUGGACUAACUAGGCUUAAAAGAUUCGUCUCGUAAUUUACAGAUAAACUAUGUAAUUAAUAAUUUUUUUAUCUAUAUUUAUGCUCCAUACAUGUGUCGCAAGAUUCGAUGUGAUAAGAAAUCUUGUAAACUUUUGGGUUUUUGAGUGCAUCUAAACAAGGCCUUUGUUUACUAAGUUAGUUGGGAAAACAACUACGGAGUAGGAACUAGAAUAUCUUUGAAGGAACUGAACUAACUGUUAUAUAAGAAGCAGAGUAACUAUGGUAGCGGUUACAAGUAUCUGAUCUAUUAAUGACUAGAGAAGUGCUGAAGGGGCUUUGCGCAUUACAUUCAGACAUAUAUUGAUAAUUUCCCCAACAAAAGAUGGUAAGCAACAGUGCCAGGUUUAAAAAUUACAACCAUGAUUUUUCUUUGAGAACAUCAAAGUAUGCAUCCAUGGAGGUGCAUAUUUUGUUCAGCUAUUACAGUGAGAUUGUGAGAACCACAAUACUGUCGACUUUGUAGAAGUGGAGGGCACAGUGGCAAGUUCCAAAAAAAAAGUGGCUCUCAGUCAUCAUCUCUAUUUAUUUGGCUGCCAGGAAAAGCUUCUCUCGUUUCCCUUCAGAAGAGACAUCGUUUCAUAAAGAAUAACCUUUUUAAUUGAAGUCCAGAUAAUGUGCAAACGAAAUGUUUCAUUUUUUUAAGAUGGCUGCUAUUUAUUUACAACUCAGGAGAAAAUUUCAGCACUACUAGAUGCUCUUUUCAUACAAUAGAUAGAUAACCCAUUGACCAUCUAAAACACAUACAGUACAAGUAGAAAAUUCAGUCGAAAUUGCAGCCUCAGAUGCUUUGGUAGCACAGAGACUAAAAUACCAGCUCUUACAACUUCUUCACAGACAGCCAGAUCAUGGUGAACUACUACAAUUCCUCUGAUCUUUCCAAUCCGCCUCAUUGGAGCAUCAAAAGCAUGACUGCUACCUUCUUGCUAGCUAUGAAGGAGAAGGAUGCAGAUUUCAAGGUUCACAAAAUACCAAGGACAAUGAACUCCACGGCUCACUCGUUAGCUCAUCAGGCCUACAACUCUGAAUCUGUAUCCACUGUGUUCACUCGUAAAUGCUGUAAUUCAUAGGCAGCUUGAUCAGUGCCCCUACCAUACCAGACGUCGUUUGCUCCAAAUCUAUAUAUAUGUCAGUUAUAAAAAAAACACAGCUUCAUAGAUCAUGCAGAAAUGCAACAACCGACAAGAGCACAAAGAAGAAACACCAGAAAUACAAAUACAUCCCGAUCAUCACUAACUAGGUAUUCCGCUGCUAGUACUCAUGUUCAGAACGAGAUUAUCAGUCAUCACCGAUCCAAGAAACUGUAUAUGUUGAUUUGGAGCAAACGACGUCUCAGAACAUCAUCAGUUAGCUAACAAUAAACAAAACUUCAUAAAGACAAAAGAUAGUAGAGUUACACAAGAACAGGAUCACAGGAGGCUUAAAAGAUGUUGAUCAUUAACUGCAGAUGCCAUUACCAUUUAAAGUUCAUCACGAGAUCAUCGCCAUACAGGAAACUAAACUUUGCAAGACGAACAGGAAGGUAAACAUGGCUGCCUCUCCCAUCAGGCAAGAGACACCACCACAACCAAAAAGCCCUCUCGUUCGCAGCAAUGCUGCUCUGCAUCAGAAACGAGUGCCCCACCAGAAAUUAAAACUACUGCUACUAGUAUACGACUAGACCACUGCAACUACGAUAUGGACUGCAACCAGGAGACCAGGGGAGGACCCAUCCGAUCCCCACCGCCUACUCGACCUUGAUCUCGAACACGUCCUUGCGCUCCCCGUCCUUGAUCUUGGGCACGGUCACCAUGAGCACGCCGUUCUUCAUCUCCGCCUUGAUCUGGUCGAUCUUGAACGCGUGGGAGGGGAGGCCGAUGCGGUAGAUGUACCGUGCCGGGGCCUUCUUGUCGUCGCCCUCGGAGUCCUUGUCGCCCUCCCCCUUGAUCACCAGGUUGUUCUUCUCCGCCCGCAUCUUCACGUGCUCCUUCGCCAGCCCCGGCAUCGCCACCUUCAGCUGCACCGCGUCGGCAUCCUCCUUGGAGAUCCACCACCCGCCCGGGGAGAAGCCGGUCAAGGGCGCCGCGCCGCCGCCGUCCUCCGCCAGCGCCAGCAGCAGGUCCCGCAUCGCAGCCUCCGGGAACAGGUCCAGCCCGCCUGCAGAAAACCUCAAAUCAUCAGUACUCUCUCUCCCCCUCUUUCGCUUCGCUAGCCAUGGUUCGAGAAAGUAACGGUGAGGGAAAACGGGGAUGGAGGAGUCGCGCUCACGGGUGCGGUCGGCGGCGGCGGCGUCCUCGCCGGUGGAUUCCUUGACGCCGUCGGAGGAGGAGCGUGGCGGCGCCUCUCCGUUGCUGAAGAGGUGGCGGUCGGAGGCGACGGUGUUCCCGGAGGCGGACGGUGAGGCGAGGAUGUCCAUGAGGAAGACGGGCUUCGGUACGGCCACCUGGGAAGCGACGGCGGAAGCCAUGGAUGGAUCCCUCUCUCUCUAGUCUCUGCCUCUUCUCUGCGAUUGGGGUUUUGGUUUUGGACUGUUGCGGUGCGCUGCGAGAGAAAUGCCUUGACAGCGACGGAAGUGUGUGUGGGGGUUUAAAUGCUGGGGGCUUUUCUUGGGGGAGGGGAUGGGCAAGGGGCCAGAAGGUUCCACAUGGCGCAUCGGGCGCCAUCGACGGUCCCAGUUGGCCCGGGCUCCUGCUUUGCGAUUCGUGCUGUCCACUGUGACCAAGUACCUGUUCCGGUGGGCUUUGCACUUUCGGGUCAGCGAGAUGAAGGGAAUGUGUGAGUGGGCUGGGGCUGAGAGUUCCAGUUGAUGAGGGAGGAGGGGGGGGUGGGGGGGGGGGGGGGUAUGCCAUUUUAUUGUUUGAUUUUGAUAGGGUAUGGGAACCUGUUGCAAACGUGGUGGAACUGGAGUUUAGAUUCAAAUUACUAACAGAUAAAUGAAAUAUGAAUGUUGGCUUUUGAUUUUAAAUGCUUAGUGCAUAAAUACAAUAUUCGGUGGACAAAAAUUAGAAUAGUGAAACAGGAUAAUAGAUGUUUAGAACUUGUUCACGGAAAUCAAUCCAUUUACACCAAGGUAACUGGUUACGAGAAGCAAUGAAGCAAUGCAAGUUGAUACAAAGUUUGUUUUGUUACCAUUUUAAGCUCUCAUGGCUAUAAAAGGCCAUGAACCCCUGCUCACUUCUACUGUUUGAAUGAUUGUUAUAGGAUCGCCAAUUAAUUCCGGGCUCAACUCGUCAACCUCUUGAUCAGUGGUGGAUCUAUGAUUUCAAUCAUGAGGGUACAUACAAAAAUGAUAUAGUUCAUCAACAUCAGCAUGACAUAAUUAGAUCACUAAACUUUGAUAAAAUAGUAACGGGUGUAGAGUGUUGGGUUGUUGUAUGGGUUGAGUAAACAAGCAAUUGUAUUUAACAAUGUAUAUAUGUACAAGAUACGAAAUUGUAUAUAUACUUGGUGUUUCUCCAGAAUUUUUGGGGCAUGCACCUGCUGUAGAUCCGCCCCUGUUGUUGAUACACCAGACUGCAUUAUUGAGGAGAAGAUUAAGGAAUCUGGUUUAGGCCUCGUUCAUUUACAGUCGUUCCGGCCAAUGGCCUAUACAAAUUACAAUAGCGUUCCUGUCUGAAGUAUUUCCGAGGCUUCAUUCCCCUUCAAACGAACAGCCCCUUAGGAAGGAAAAGGAUUUCUAGAGAAAAAAACGAUAGUUCAAGCAAAGUUGAAUAGAGGGAUGAAAAACAGAAUAAUCAACAUAGGAACAUUACUUGCUUUAUCUUAAAAAAGGAACAUUACUUGCAGGGAAGAAGCAGGGUGCUCUUCUUUUUUAAAAAAAGUGGGAAGUUUUUUUUUAAAAUAUAAGCACAGUACAGAGAUUGUGCGGAAUAUCCCCGGCCCCAAUUGAAAUUUUGCAAAGCAGUCUAGUGCACUGUGGAUGGUGUACUAAAGACUCACAAAAGUAAAGGCAAGAGUCUAGAGUCGAAGCCUGUCUUGCCAACUUUGCUAGUCUAUCAGGGUGCUCUUGGAAGGCUGGUGCAAGAUCAAUAUUACACAUACUGUCAGACAAGACUUGGUAACAGAGGCGGAGUCGUUGGUUAACAUUUAGCCUGUUUCGAAUUUCACUCUGCAGCCCCCUAUGACUUAUUUUUUGUAUUUGAAGAGGCGCAAUUACAUAGCACAGCUAAUACAUAGUGUUCAAAUGGUGCUAGAGGCCUCUUUCGCCCCCAAACGCCCAAAUUCAAAUUUUGAACACAGGACCUACAGAGAGAAAAAGGUGUCUAGAAAAAAUUCCAUACCUGUCUUCAUGAACCGUUUGGAGAUAUGAAAAAAAAGUAGCAGUUAUAAACUAACAAGGGCCAUGGAGUUGCUUAGUAAAUUGGUUGGAAAAACAAUCAGAAACUAGAAUAUCUUUGGUAGGAAUCGAAGUUAUAUAAACUAAUAAGAAGUGGAGUAACUGUGGACCUAUGGUACUGGUAGGAACAGAAGUGCUGAAGGGGGUUUGCGCAUUACACUCAGACACACAUUUUAAUUUUCACAAGAAAUGGUAAGCAACUGUAACAGGUUUAAAAAUUACACACCCUGAAUUCUAUUUGGGGGUGUUUUGUUCAGCUACUAUGGUGAGAGCCAUAAUACUGUCGAAUUAGUAGAAGUCGAGACCACAAUGGCAAGUGGCUCUCAGUCAUCAACUCUUGGAUGUACUAGCUGCCAGGAAAAGCUUCUCUCGAAUUAGUAGAAUAAGCUUUUUAAUCGAAGUGCAGAUAACCCUGCAAACAAAAUGUUUCAUAUUUUAAGAUGGCUGCCGCUAUUUAUUUACAAUUCAGGAGAAAAUUUCAGCACUACUAUAUUCAUACAAUGACCAUCUUAAAAAACAUACAGCACAAUAGAAAAUUUAGUUGAAUUGCAGCACCUUCGAAUGUAACCAAAAUAAAUAAACACAACUUCAUACAUCAUGCGGAAAUGCAACAGUCGACAAGAGUACAAGAACAGACACCAGAAAUAUGAAAUACAUCUCGAUCAACGAUCAACACUUCAUAAAAAAAACUUGGGUAUUUCACUAGUAGUACCCCAAGUUCAGAAACCAGAUUAUCAGUCAUCAAGUUCAGAAAUGACGUCUCACAAAGAUCAUCAGUUCAGAUCGCCAACAAUAAAGACAAAAAAACAGUAGAGUAAUACAGAAGAACAGGAUCACAGGGAAGCUCAUACAGAUGUCUAUCUUUAACUGCAGAUUCCAUUACCAUUUGAAGUUCAUCACGCGAGAUCAUCAGUGAUCAUCGCCAUACAUGAAACUAAACUUUGCAAGACGAACAGAAAGGUAAACACGGCUGCCUCACAUCAGGAACGAGACGCUAAAAAGCCAAAGCCCUCCCGUUCUGCUGCUCUGCAUCAGAAACGACUACUACUCUAGUAUACUGCAACUACGAUAUGGACUGCAACUACGAUAUGGACUGCAACCAGGAGACCUACUCGACCUUGAUCUCGAACACGUCCUUGCGCUCCCCGUCCUUGAUCUUGGGCACGGUCACCAUGAGCACGCCGUUCUUCAUCUCCGCCUUGAUCUGGUCCACCUUGAAAGCGUGGGAGGGGAGGUCGAUGCGGCAGAUGUACCCUGCCGGGUCCUUCUUGUCGUCGCCCUCGGAGUCCUUGUCGCCCUCCCCCUUGAUCACCAGGGUGUCCUUCUCCACUCGCAUCUUCACGUGCUCCUUCCCCAGCCCCGGCAUCGCCACCUUCAGCUGCACCGCGUCGGCAUCAUCCUUGGAGACCCACGACGACCCGCGCGGGGAGAAGCCGGUC
rnacentral:lncRNA from 1 species